rnacentral:piRNA from 1 species
UAGAGCUAAAUUGUACCUGCUGCC